GAUGAACGCUGGCGGCGUGCCUAAUACAUGCAAGUCGAACGGACAGACGAGGAGCUUGCUCCUCUGACGUUAGCGGCAGACGGGUGUGUAACACGUGUAUCCCGUACCUAUCAUACUGGUAUAACUUCGAGACACCGGGUCUUAUACGGGAUGAUCUCUUGCACCGCGUGGUGCGAUGGUGAAAUUCGGCUUUUCUGUCACUUCUCGCUGGAUCCGGGCCGCUUUAGCUAGUUGGGAAGGUAACGGCCUACCAAGGCAAGCAGGCGUAAACGACGUCACAGGGGGAUAGCCCACCUGGGAGGUGAGCCGCGGUCCAGGGUACUGAGGGAGGGAGCAGUAGGGAAUCGUACGCAAUGGGGGAAAGCCUGACGGAGCAACGGCGCGUGAGUGAUGGAGGUCUUCGGAGCGUAAAACUCUGUUAUUAGGGAAGAACAAAUGUGUAAGUAACUAUGGACGUCUUGACGGUACCGAAUCAGAAAGCCACGGCUAACUACGUG
rnacentral:rRNA from 1 species